rnacentral:rRNA from 1 species
AUGAACGCUAGCUACAGGCUUAACACAUGCAAGUCGAGGGGCAGCAUUUUAGUUUGCUUGCAAACUAAAGAUGGCGACCGGCGCACGGGUGAGUAACACGUAUCCAACCUGCCGAUAACUCGGGGAUAGCCUUUCGAAAGAAAGAUUAAUAUCCGAUGGUAUAUUAAAACCGCAUGGUUUUACUAUUAAAGAAUUUCGGUUAUCGAUGGGGAUGCGUUCCAUUAGUUUGUUGGCGGGGUAACGGCCCACCAAGACUACGAUGGAUAGGGGUUCUGAGAGGAAGGUCCCCCACAUUGGAACUGAGACACGGUCCAAACUCCUACGGGAGGCAGCAGUGAGGAAUAUUGGUCAAUGGACGAGAGUCUGAACCAGCCAAGUAGCGUGAAGGAUGACUGCCCUAUGGGUUGUAAACUUCUUUUAUAUGGGAAUAAAGUAUUCCACGUGUGGGAUUUUGUAUGUACCAUAUGAAUAAGGAUCGGCUAACUCCGUGCCAGCAGCCGCGGUAAUACGGAGGAUCCGAGCGUUAUCCGGAUUUAUUGGGUUUAAAGGGAGCGUAGGUGGAUUGUUAAGUCAGUUGUGAAAGUUUGCGGCUCAACCGUAAAAUUGCAGUUGAAACUGGCAGUCUUGAGUACAGUAGAGGUGGGCGGAAUUCGUGGUGUAGCGGUGAAAUGCUUAGAUAUCACGAAGAACUCCGAUUGCGAAGGCAGCUCACUAGACUGCAACUGACACUGAUGCUCGAAAGUGUGGGUAUCAAACAGGAUUAGAUACCCUGGUAGUCCACACAGUAAACGAUGAAUACUCGCUGUUUGCGAUAUACAGUAAGCGGCCAAGCGAAAGCAUUAAGUAUUCCACCUGGGGAGUACGCCGGCAACGGUGAAACUCAAAGGAAUUGACGGGGGCCCGCACAAGCAGGGGAGUAUGUGGUUUAAUUCGAAGCAACGCGAAGAACCUUACCAGGUCUUGACAUCCGAUGCAUAGCGCAGAGAUGCGUGAAGUCCUUCGGGACAUCGAGACAGGUGGUGCAUGGUUGUCGUCAGCUCGUGCCGUGAGGUGUCGGCUUAAGUGCCAUAACGAGCGCAACCCUUAUCUUUAGUUACUAACAGGUUAUGCUGAGGACUCUAGAGAGACUGCCGUCGUAAGAUGUGAGGAAGGUGGGGAUGACGUCAAAUCAGCACGGCCCUUACGUCCGGGGCUACACACGUGUUACAAUGGGGGGGUACAGAAGGCAGCUACCUGGUGACAGGAUGCUAAUCCCAAAAACCUCUCUCAGUUCGGAUCGAAGUCUGCAACCCGACUUCGUGAAGCUGGAUUCGCUAGUAAUCGCGCAUCAGCCAUGGCGCGGUGAAUACGUUCCCGGGCCUUGUACACACCGCCCGUCACACCAUGGGAGUCAGUAACGCCCGAAGUCAGUGACCUAACCGCAAGGGAGGAGCUGCCGAAGGCGGGACCGAUAACUGGGGUG